rnacentral:rRNA from 1 species
UACGGAGGGAGCUAGCGUUAUUCGGAAUUACUGGGCGUAAAGCGCACGUAGGCGGCUUUGUAAGUUAGAGGUGAAAGCCUGGGAGCUACACUCAAGAACUGCCUUUAAGACUGCAUCGCUUGAAUCCAGGAGAGGUGAGUGGAAUUCCGAGUGUAGAGGUGAAAUUCGUAGAUAUUCGGAAGAACACCAGUGGCGAAGGCGGCUCACUGGACUGGUAUUGACGCUGAGGUGCGAAAGCGUGGGGAGCAAACAGG